UGGGUUUGACAUCAUCAUACUUGGGAUGUAUAACACAAAGUCCCAAGCAAGCUGAUGUUAGGCCCA
rnacentral:pre_miRNA from 12 species